rnacentral:rRNA from 1 species
UUUGAUGGCUUAAGUAACCUGAAAGCACUAGAUCCCAUCUGGCCUUCUAAGCUAAGCAGGGUCAGUCCUGAUUAGUAUUUGGAUGGGAGAUCGCCAAUGAAUACCAGGUGCUGUAGGCU